CACUAGUUGAGAGCUAGCGCCGCUCUCCUGAUAAGUCCAAGGAAGGACGAAACUAGUG
rnacentral:sRNA from 1 species